UACGUAGGGGGCUAGCGUUGUCCGGAAUCAUUGGGCGUAAAGCGCGUGUAGGCGGUCCGGUAAGUCCGCUGUGAAAGUCGAGGGCUCAACCCUCGAAUGCCGGUGGAUACUGUCGGGCUAGAGUGCGGAAGAGGCGAGUGGAAUUCCUGGUGUAGCGGUGAAAUGCGCAGAUAUCAGGAGGAACACCUAUUGCGAAGGCAGCUCGCUGGGACGCAACUGACGCUGAGACGCGAAAGCGUGGGGGAGCAAACAGG
rnacentral:rRNA from 1 species